CCAGAGCACAGCCAGGUGGGAAGAAAAUUAGUAAAUAAACUUUAAUGAGGAGUGCUAAGGUUGCAAUGCACAUGAUUGAGUUUCUGUUAUGUUUCAAAAGCUGUGUGGGAUACUCUAAAUACUUAAUGCCUCCAUUCAUUUCUGCCGUCCACCGGUAUUUCCUGAAUACCCACCACAUACCCAGCGUGGUCCCAGGCACGGGGCAUUCGGCAGUGACUGAGACGUGGCCCUGCCCUCACAGAGCUUGUGGUCUUGCAGAGGAAACAGACAUGUAUGCGGUCACAUGACGGGGUGUGCACCGGGCGCCAGAAACGGGGAGAUGGCCAUCCGCCCUCGCGGCUGCCCGGAACGGAGUCCUGUUCUCUGUUCCACUUUCCAAGUAAGGAGAUGCAGCUCAGAGGGUGACCCAGGGUGCUGAGCCAGGGGCCAGGGCUCUGCCUCCCGCUCCCCCCAGACCCUGAGCGCUCCGCUGUGUGCACACCUCACAUGUGCUCGACCCACUCGGAGGGCAGGAACCCGGCCUAUUCCGGGUCCUCCUCCGCAUCUAGCUCAGGCCUGGCCUAGAGAAGGUGCUCCGUAAAAGCACCUGAGGGAUAAGGAACGAGUCUUCCUGUGAUAGCACCCUGCCUCUGGCCCGGGGGACCGUACAACGGCCAACUGCCCAGAGCAAGUCAGCUCCUGGAUGAUGUUCAAGUUUUCAGUAGCAAAUUCCACAGAGACUGACACAGGCCACGUGAGCGCUCCUCAGUGUCGGGGCACGCUAUCUCCAAUUUCACUGACCUCACCUGGAAGAACCGGCUUCCUCUGUCUUCCCUCAUUCCCAAAGAAUUAACCGUCCUUAAACCCUGCAUUGUCCCUGAAGCAGAAGAGGACGUAUGUCGGGGUGGGGGCAGGGCACACAGCCUUUUCCUAAAACUAACCCGGGACCGAGGACCCCGGAGGAGCCCGAGCACGGACUCCCCAGAAGCAUCCGGGUUUGGGCAUUCACGAGAGCGAUGUUCGCGUGGACUUUAAGAAAAGAAACAAAAACCAGUCCCUACCAUUGCGCCCCUGUAGUAGGCCGUUGUGAUCGUCCGAAACCGUUCCUGACCAGCUGUGUCCCUAGAGGAGAAGAAGGGAGAGUGGUGACAGCAAACACCAAUCGUCAUCACCGUGGGAACAACGGGUACUCACCCGGGAUGGACGCGGGUUGUUUCUUAAUUCACUGUCCGACUGUGGGACAGCACCUUCGUCCUCUACUCUUACAGAGGAGGAAACGGUGACUCGGGUGUCAAAGACCUGCCCCAUAGGGCGUAAAGUCAUUCCCUCCAAUGACCCCUCUGCUGCACCUCUGUUUCCUGGGGAUUCUUCCCAGAGUUUCCGGCUCACAGAGGAGCCGAGAUCGGAUGUCAGCUGUGAAAAUCCAGGGCCAUGCAGGCAUGGAAGGGGCCGGUCACAUGGCUGGAGGGGUGUACCUUCAUGCUUGCUUGCCGUCUUGGCAGAAGCCAGGGAGCAAGUCUUCCCUCGUUGGUGGAGGGCGACACCUGGGUGAGACACAUCGUGCCCAGCCCAGCUCCUGGCACAGGGGGCAUUCAGUGCUCGGUGUAAAGAUGGCCUGACUGAUUGGUGGCGGGGCCAGGGCAAGCCCCAUGUCUUUUGUCUCUGGAUUCGGGGUUCCUUUCGUGACCCUGCGAGGGCUCUGCAUGGCUGGGCUGCACGGAGGCCCCUCAAUCUGGGGCUCGGCUGGCUUUCUGACACCAACGGCAGGUGACGUUAGUGGUCAGGAACAGUCAUUUCUAUCCUCUGCCAUGGCCUCAGUCUAGAGAAGCGUUAAGAGAGUCACUGACCCCAUCGAGGCUGCUGAGAGCAGAAGCAGGAAGAGAGGAGAAGAGGAAAGUGAAACUUCUGCCAGCUGCCGCCGUGUCACCUUGGACUCCGGGCACUGAGGCUGCUGGGGAGCCACGUGGUAAAGAUGGAGAUGCUUCCAGGGCUUGUAACUUAUGAGGCAGCCAGAGACCAGGGACCAGAGACCAGAGACCAGAGACGGGCAGAUUACCAGCUGACGAGGCGUCAGGCCUCAUCCGGAUUUCCACUCUGGAGUCAGACCAGAGGCGAACACCACGGGAGCCGAGGGGGCGCCCUGGGCAGGCAGAGCGAUGCUCACACUCUGAGACCCGGGGGAGGGAGACGGGCUGCGGGGAAGGUGGCUUCGUGGCCCCCCUCACGGCACUCCCUCCCACCACAGGUGCUCGCUAGGGCAGGGAGAUUUCGCCACCCUCUCACAUGUGACUUCUCUUUCAUUUCGCUCAGGGCCCAUACUUCCCCGUGGGUGAUGUGGCUGCAGGGCGGGGACUCCCCUUCCAUCUGACCAUCUGAGCUCAGCCUUCCUGGCACUUCCGAGGGGCUACAGACCCCAGGCAGCGCCAGCGACAGGGACUCACAACCUCUCCGAUUUCAUGUAUCACAAGAAGUCAGCCCCAGCGUGUCCACCAACGGAUGGGCAGAUAAACAGAACGUGGCCCAUCCGUACUACCACCCGGCCGUGAAAAGGAAUGAAGGCCUGACACACACUGCGACAACCAAAAACACCUUCCAGAAGCUUCCGCCACCCCCUCGGCCCCAGGAUGAAGUGAGAACAGUUGAGCGUGUGCGCCAAGGUCCUGCCUCGCCUGGCCACCGCGCGGCAAACAGCUCCCACGAUUGUUUCCUAAAUAUCCCGCGCACAGUCUGGACUCAGGGCUCUCGUGCUCGCUCUUCCCUCUCUUGGAACGUCGCUUCCUUCCAUGACUUCCUGGCUCCCCCGGCCCUUCACUCAGGCCUCUGUUCAAGUCACCUCCCCAGGUGAGCCUUCCUGACCAUCCUCACUCUCUCUCCCCUCGCUUCUUUUCCUUCUUCGGGUGCACACCCUUGACAGUGCAUUUGCUCCACGGAUCUUGGGGUGAAAGUUGCCCAUGGAAAACAGCCCGACCCUGCCUUUACCUCCGCGAGUUUGUUCUACAUCUUUGCCCUCGAAGCCUGGAGGCGGGAGCCUGGCUUGAGCCCUCAGAACUGAUGACGGGAUGUUAAUUCCAUCGCUGCCCACCUCAGGAGCUGUCCAGGGGACCACAGGGAAUAUCAGUCUGCAUCUGAAAUGUGCCCACGAGGACAGAAGCUCCAGGAGAGCAGGGACUCAGACGUCUUACUCAUGGCUGUGUCUCCGGUAACUCAGCAUGGCAGAGGCCAGCUAUGUAUCUGCUAGAAACUGAUCACCCAGUCCCACACACACACCUGGACUACAGGCCUUGUCACAUUGGUUUCCCUCUAAUUCAUCCCAGUCAUUUCUUCAGCCCCUGCAGCCGUGUUGGCACACAGCAGGCGUUGGGGAAAGAUGGCAGGGCGAAAGAAAUAAAAGCCACAGGGUGUCGUGUGGUUUACGAAGCA